CUCUCCCCGACGGGGCGGCUGGUUCUCAUCAACGCCGUGUUGGACGCCAUCCCAACCUAUGCCAUGGGCGCGCUCAAGCUGCCCCCCAAGGUGGUGCGCGCGCUGGACUCCCUCCGUCGCUCGUUCCUCUGGAACGCGGCCGAGCGAGCUUCCGGUGCGCAAUGUCUCAUCGCCUGGGAGCUAGUGUGUCGCGGCAAGGUGGCCUGGGGGUCCGAGACCUCGCCACGUAAAAUGACGCCCUCCUUCUGA
rnacentral:rRNA from 1 species